rnacentral:rRNA from 1 species
GAGUUUGAUCCUGGCUCAGGAUGAACGCUGGCGGCGUGCUUAACACAUGCAAGUCGAGCGAAGCGUAUUAGCGGAAGUUUUCGGAUGGAAGCGGAUAUGACUUAGCGGCGGACGGGUGAGUAACGCGUGGAUAACCUGCCUCAUACAGGGGGAUAACAGUUAGAAAUGACUGCUAAUACCGCAUAAGCGCACAGGACCGCAUGGUCCGGUGUGAAAAACUCCGGUGGUAUGGGAUGGAUCUGCGUCUGAUUAGCUGGUUGGUGAGGUAACGGCCCACCAAGGCGACGAUCAGUAGCCGACCUGAGAGGGUGGCCGGCCACAUUGGGACUGAGACACGGCCCAAACUCCUACGGGAGGCAGCAGUGGGGAAUAUUGCACAAUGGGGGAAGCCCUGAUGCAGCAACGCCGCGUGAGUGAAGAAGUAUUUCGGUAUGUAAAGCUCUAUCAGCAGGGAAGAAGAAAGACGGUACCUGACUAAGAAGCCCCGGCUAACUACGUGCCAGCAGCCGCGGUAAUACGUAGGGGGCAAGCGUUAUCCGGAUUUACUGGGUGUAAAGGGAGCGUAGACGGCUGUGCAAGUCUGAAGUGAAAGCCCGUGGCUCAACCGCGGAACUGCUUUGGAAACUGUAUAGCUUGAGUACUGGAGAGGCAGGCGGAAUUCCUAGUGUAGCGGUGAAAUGCGUA